UAAUAUCUAAAAAUCCUUAUUUAAUUAUGACAGAUUUAUAUUUGACUGUUCAAAAUUACUCAUUAUUAUAUGAAUAAUAACUUUUUGAGAUUUUAAUUAGAGGUU
rfam:Populus trichocarpa scaffold_16_contig_62, whole genome shotgun sequence.